rnacentral:rRNA from 1 species
GAUGAACGCUGGCGGCGUGCCUAAUACAUGCAAGUCGAGCGAACAGACGAGGAGCUUGCUCCUCUGACGUUAGCGGCGGACGGGUGAGUAACACGUGGAUAACCUACCUAUUAGACUGGGAUAACUUCGGGAAACCGGAGCUAAUACCGGAUAAUAUAUUGAACCGCAUGGUUCAAUAGUGAAAGACGGUUUUGCUGUCACUUAUAGAUGGAUCCGCGCCGCAUUAGCUAGUUGGUAAGGUAACGGCUUACCAAGGCGACGAUGCGUAGCCGACCUGAGAGGAUGAUCGGCCACACUGGAACUGAGACACGGUCCAGACUCCUACGGGAGGCAGCAGUAGGGAAUCUUCCGCAAUGGGCGAAAGCCUGACGGAGCAACGCCGCGUGAGUGAUGAAGGUCUUCGGAUCGUAAAACUCUGUUAUUAGGGAAGAACAAAUGUGUAAGUAACUAUGCACGUCUUGACGGUACCUAAUCAGAAAGCCACGGCUAACUACGUG